rnacentral:rRNA from 1 species
AUUGAACGCUGGCGGCAUGCUUUACACAUGCAAGUCGAACGGUAACAGGCCUUCGGGUGCUGACGAGUGGCGAACGGGUGAGUAAUGCAUCGGAACGUACCCAGAGGUGGGGGAUAACGCAGCGAAAGCUGUGCUAAUACCGCAUGUGAUCUGAGGAUGAAAGCGGGGGACCGAGCAGCAAUGUUUGGCCUCGCGCCUUUGGAGCGGCCGAUGUCGGAUUAGCUAGUUGGUGGGGUAAAGGCCUACCAACGCGACGAUCCGUAGCUGGUCGGAGAGGACGACCAGCCACACUGGGACUGAGACACGGCCCAGACUCCUACGGGAGGCAGCAGUGGGGAAUUUUGGACAAUGGGCGCGAGCCUGAUCCAGCAAUGCCGCGUGCGGGAAGAAGGCCUUCGGGUUGUAAACCGCUUUUGGCAGGAACGAAACGGUGUCCGCUAAUACCGGGCGCUAAUGACGGUACCUGCAGAAUAAGCACCGGCUAACUACGUG